UACGGAGGGUGCAAACGUUGCUCGGAAUCAUUGGGCGUAAAGCGCGUGUAGGCGGGUCUUUAAGUCAGGGGUGAAAUGCCAAGGCUCAACCUUGGAACUGCCUUUGAUACUGGAGACCUUGAGUCCGGGAGAGGUGAGUGGAAUUGCGAGUGUAGAGGUGAAAUUCGUAGAUAUUCGCAAGAACACCAGUGGCGAAGGCGGCUCACUGGCCCGGAACUGACGCUGAGACGCGAAAGCGUGGGGAGCAAACAGG
rnacentral:rRNA from 1 species